rnacentral:sRNA from 1 species
CCGACGCGGAUUACGGUGGCG